CAGUAGCGUAUAUUAAAGUUGUUGCAGUUAAAAGCUCGUAGUUGGAUUUCUGGCUGACCGGGUAUGGUCCGGCGUCCUCAGGGCGCUGUGUACCGUCUUGCGUUUGCCAUCCUUCCGGAGAGCGGUGCCUACCGGCUUGUUCGGCAGGGCGCUUUUGCGAUCCGGAUCGUUUACUUUGAAAAAUUAGAGUGUUCCAAGCAAGCUUACGCUUUGAAUACAUUAGCAUGGAAUAAUAAUAUAGGACUUCUGUUCUAUUUUGUUGGUUUCUAGGACCGAAGUAAUGAUUGAUAGGGAUAGUUGGGGUGGCUAGUAUUCAUGCGGCCAGAGGUGAAAUUCUUGGAUUCGCUGAAGACUAACUACUGCGAAAGCAUUCACCAAGGAUGUCUUCUUUAAUCAAGAACGAAAGUUGGGGAUCGAAGACGAUCAGAUACC
rnacentral:rRNA from 1 species